UGAGAACUUGUUCUCAACUAGCCUACCUGGUUAAAUGAAGGUCAGUACACUGUCUAGCCUGCCAGAAGUUUGAGAGGGCGAAGACUGUGGCGCCGGAGUUGAAGCCCAUCAAAGUUGUUUCACCAUGGCACAUGAUUAGGGUGGACCUCAUCGGACCCUUCACAAAAUCCAGGAAUGGCAACAGCUGGUGUCUGACGGUGACCGAUCACUUUACCAAGUGGGUGGAGGCAAUACCCAUUAAGAUCAGUAAAGGAAGAGUAUGUGCUCGGAAUUCCCUUCUGUAACCCAUUAAAAAGGGUGGUUGGAACAAAUAAAUAGAUUUUCGUUUUGUAUGAUACCUAUCAAGAACGAGACUGGCAAGGCCACCUCCAAGGCGAUGGUGGACAUCUUCAACACACAUGGUUCUCCUGAGGUCACCUUGAGUGACCAAGGUAAUGAGCGCUGGAACAAGGUACGGAUGUUGUAGGUUAUAUUCUGUCACCAAUGGCGUGUUUUAUUUUUUUACAUUUUUUGUUUGUUUUUCCAUGGUACAUAAUCAGAUAUAUUUCAAUAUCUUACAUUGUCAAUAGAUAUCGCUUUCCUACCCCCUCCUCCAGGUUUGGUGAAUGGACCAACCAGACCCUCAAGGCUGCCAUGGACAAGUCCCUUGAUUGGUACCAGGAAGAGUGGGAAAGUAAUUCUCUUUGSACACAACAGCAGCAUCCAGGCCUCCACAAACAAAGGUAAACAAUUGAGAUAACUGAAACCCCACUUGAUGUGGUGGAAGUUGUCGAACCAAAUCAGAAUGCCUUCGYGGUCCAAUUCAGGCAUGGACUGAGAAGGAUGUGGAGGUUUUUGACCAGGUGAGACUGAACAUGGACAAGGCGCAAAAAAAAACAGAAGGAGAGCUACCGGAGCAGAAUCAAGAAGGGGACCAAGUGCUACGACAUCUGGGCGAAUUACUUGGUUUGGAAGAAGGACGAAAGGAAGGCGAGACCUGGGAAACUUCGCUGUUUUUUCGCUCCUAGCUGGGGUCAGCAUCUGUUAAAGGUUACCUCAGCGGAAGUCAACAAUCUUCUACAUUUGGAGCAGUUUGYCGGUCAAGCACUGACGCCCUACACUUCAGUGAAGCCCAAUAGACUAAGACCAUCAACUGUCCGAGCCCCCCAGGAGGUAUCCCAUCCACCAGAACCAGUGAGUCGGAGGGGGACCAGCUUGAGGAACUGGAGGUUCUGCCCAACACCCAGACAUAGAUCCACCUGAUGUCCUCCAUUACCAACCACCCUCCAUCUUUUCAUUAAAUAUUCUACAGCUACUGUUGUUGUCAUGUUGUCAUCAUCUGCUAAGAAAGUGAGAUAAUAUGUGAGAUAAAUCAAAUCGUAUUGGUCACAUACACGUGUUUAGCAGAUGUUAUUGUGUAGUGAAAUGCCUGAGUUU